AAUUUUUCGCUUAGAAUCAAUAUCGUUACCAAAGAGGUUUUACCGAGGUGCGAUUAUUGCGAGUUGAAAAAAAAUCCUAUUUAAUAGUGUAUCAUGUUUUCUACGAGGAAUAGUUUUUUUUUCUGGUUAUGGUUUUAUA